GACGAACGCUGGCGGCGUGCCUAACACAUGCAAGUCGAACGGACAGGCCCUGAUCUUGUGGGGUGCUCGAGUGGCGAACGGGUGAGUAACACGUGAGUAACCUCCACUUGACUUUGGGAUAACUUCAGGAAACUGGGGCUAAUACCGGAUAGGAGCUCCUGCUGCACGGGGGGGGAUGGAAAAUUUCGGCGGUUGGGGCUGGACUCGCGGCUUAUGCGCUUGUUGGUCGGGUAGUGGCUUACCAAGCCUUCGACGGGUAGGCGGCCUGGGAGGGUGACCGGCCACAUUGGGCCUGAGAUAGGGACCAGACGCCUACGUGCGGCAGUGGGGGAGAGUAUGACAGAGUGGGGGCAAGCCUGAUACGGCAACGCUGGGUGCGUAAUGCCGGCCUUUGGGUGGUAAACCGCUGUGGACGGUGACGAAGCGGGAGUGACGGUAACGGGUAAAAAAGCACCGGCUAACUACGUG
rnacentral:rRNA from 1 species